UACGUAGGGUGCAAGCGUUGUCCGGAAUUAUUGGGCGUAAAGAGCUCGUAGGCGGUCCGUCACGUCGGCUGUGAAAACCUGGGGCUCAACCCCGGGCCUGCAGCCGAUACGGGCGGACUAGAAUUCGGUAGGGGAGACUGGAAUUCCUGGUGUAGCGGUGAAAUGCGCAGAUAUCAGGAGGAACACCAGUGGCGAAGGCGGCUUGCCAGAACGCGCUCGACGGUGAGGGAUGAAAGCUGGGGAGCAAACCGGG
rnacentral:rRNA from 1 species